GAUGAACGCUGGCGGCGUGCCUAAUACAUGCAAGUCGAGCGAACAGACGAGGAGCUUGCUCCUUUGACGUUAGCGGCGGACGGGUGAGUAACACGUGGGUAACCUACCUAUAAGACUGGGAUAACUUCGGGAAACCGGAGCUAAUACCGGAUAAUAUUUCGAACCGCAUGGUUCGAUAGUGAAAGAUGGCUUUGCUAUCACUUAUAGAUGGACCUGCGCCGUAUUAGCUAGUUGGUAAGGUAACGGCUUACCAAGGCAACGAUACGUAGCCGACCUGAGAGGAUGAUCGGCCACACUGGAACUGAGACACGGUCCAGACUCCUACGGGAGGCAGCAGUAGGGAAUCUUCCGCAAUGGGCGAAAGCCUGACGGAGCAACGCCGCGUGAGUGAUGAAGGUCUUCGGAUCGUAAAACUCUGUUAUUAGGGAAGAACAAACGUGUAAGUAACUGUGCACGUCUUGACGGUACCUAAUCAGAAAGCCACGGCUAACUACGUG
rnacentral:rRNA from 1 species